UUUCCGUAGGUGAACCUGCGGAAGGAUCAUUACCAUAAAAAAAAUCAAAUCAAAAACCAAAAAGGAAUUUUUUUACUUUUCGAAAGAGAAGAAAAAAAACCUUUUGGCUAACCCUUUUUUUUCUUUUUUUCUUGCAAGAGGGAUAAAGGAAAAAAAAACCAAAACUUCAAACCUUGCCUCUUUAUGGAAAGUUUUCUUUUUCUUGAAGAGGUUUGUCUGCCACGUUUCACGAAGCACUAGUGCAAAUUUCGGUUUGUUUUAGAGAUGCGUAGCGUGGCCGUUUGUAAAUAACGCCAUUUACAGCAAAACCAAAACCAAUUUCUCGACGUUGGCUUCUUCUUAAUUAACAUUUAUGGCAAAUAAGAAAAGGACACGCCGAAACAACAAAACUUAAAAAAAAUGACAACUUUUAACGGUGGAUCUCUUGGCUCGU
rnacentral:misc_RNA from 1 species